rnacentral:lncRNA from 1 species
AUGACUGCUGUGGAGCUGCCUGGCUGGUCUACGAGUUUGGGGAGAGUGCUCUGCUUUGGGAUACCGAGCCAUCGCCGAGGUCUGUCCCAUGCAGCUGGUGGGCCCUGUGAAUGCACAGCCCCGCGUCACCUCUUCCGUCCUGCCCCUGGAGAGACUGCCCGAGAAGAUGCUGGCCUGGGCCGUGGAGUUAAAGUGGCUGUCUCUUCCACGGAAACCUUCACUGAGGGUGUCUGUCAUUUCAGUGAAGAGCCGUCGAUAGGAGCUAAUUUUGUUUCCCUUUGGCCUGUUUCUCAGGGUAUAAGGGCUUGAGGAAACUCGGGAUAGCACAGGCUGCAUGUCUGUGAGUCACUCGGUGUGCGAAAUGUUUGCCCAGUCAUCCCAGGACUUUCCACCCAAUCUUUGAGCUGGGUUAUGGAACAGAAGCAGAUGAGUAAGUUGCUUAUGGAGGCUGCUGUGCCUGUCUGCUGUAGACGUGUCUCCUGUUUCUCCAUGAUGACUGACCUGUUCAUGGGGGGUCUGGAAACCCGGCCAGGCCUCUGCAGCUUGGGACCUGCUCUGAGCAGGUGUUUGGGACAGGUGAAGUUAAAUGAUUGCUUAUUUACUAAUUGCAAACAUGCUGACAGGCCAGAAUAUAUGGAUGGCUGGGGAGUUAUGGCAGAAUUCAUACCAUGUCUCAUCUCUUUCUUCCUUAUGCCCCUCGCCUGCUUCCUUUAGCCACAGGCUCAGUGAUUUCAGGUGCAUCCAGAGGGAUGCAGUUUCUGGCCAGAGACUGCCACGAGUCUGAACGUUCCCCAUCUGCAUGGGCCUAGCUCCCCACUGGCACCUCUGUCUUGCUGCCUGCCUGCCAAUAAUGCAUGGCUUAAAUGGCAUGCCACCAUGUGGGAGCUUUCCUUGAGCUCAUUGCACAAGGUGGUAAUAAAUUAAUAAUUGGAGAUUUUAUCCUUGCUUGU